rnacentral:rRNA from 1 species
AUACGGAGGGGGCUAGCGUUAUUCGGAAUUACUGGGCGUAAAGCGCACGUAGGCGGAUUGGAAAGUCAGAGGUGAAAUCCCAGGGCUCAACCUUGGAACUGCCUUUGAAACUCCCAGUCUUGAGGUCGUGAGAGGUGAGUGGAAUUCCGAGUGUAGAGGUGAAAUUCGUAGAUAUUCGGAGGAACACCAGUGGCGAAGGCGGCUCACUGGCACGAUACUGACGCUGAGGUGCGAAAGCGUGGGGAGC